CAUGCGGAAUUCUACAAUGCAAGUCGAGCGGCUGCGAUUAAGAUCUUGUGCUACUUUUGCCGGCGAGCGACGGACGGGUGAGUAAUGCCUGACCUGUUGCCCAGACUGGGGGGAUAACGGUUGACCACGACUGCUACUACCGCAUACUCCCUACCGGGGGAAGCAGGGUACCUUCGGGGCUUGCGCUGUUGCUUAUGCCCGGGUGGGAUUCGCUAUAUGGAGAUGGAAUGGUUCCCCAAGGCCACGAUCCCUAUGUGGACUCAAACGAUGAGGGUGCUCACUGGAACUGAGACUGAGUCCCGACUCCUACUCCAGGCGGAGGUGGGGAAUAUUGCUCUUCGGGGGAGACCCUGAUGCUGACAUGCCACCUGCGUGAGAAAGGUCUUCGGUUUGUAAAGCACUUUCUCUGAUGAGGAAAGGUAACAAGCGAAUAUCUGCUGACUGGGACCCUUGUCGGAAACUAACCACCGGGUAACUCCUAGCCACCUGCCGCCGUAAUACGGAAGGCGCAAGUGUUAAUCGUAAUUACUGGUUAUUGAGCGCACGCCGGGCGCUGGAUAAUUCUUAUGUGAAAUGCCCAGGCUCACCCUGCAACUUGGAUUUAAAAUUGUCCACUUGGAGUCUUGUAGUGCAGGGGAAGAAUUCCAGGUGUAAUGUGUAAAUGCGAAAAGAUCUGGAGUAUUACCGAACGCCAAUGCGGAACGCUGCAUUCUGACUGACACUUGAGUGUGAGAGCGUGAGGAGCGAACAGGAUUAGAUAUUAUGGUCCCCCACGCCGUACACCAUGUACAAUGAGUGCUGUGGCCUUGAGGACUUCCGUUCUUGAGCUAACAAGUUAAAUCGUCCGCCUGUGCGGCAGGGCAGUACGGCCAAAACUCUGAAAAUUGACGAAUUCCCGCACGAGCGCUCGAGCAUGUGAUCUUGUUCGAUACUUCGAAAAAACGCUUACCAGCUCAUGACGUCUCGACAUCCUCGGACAGAUCUAGAGAUGCCGUCUGGCAUUCGAACGCAGGAUGCUGCAGUGGCUGCAUGGCAUCUCGUGUCCUCAGAUGUUG
rnacentral:rRNA from 1 species